UACGUAGGGUGCAAGCGUUGUCCGGAAUUAUUGGGCGUAAAGAGCUCGUAGGCGGUUCGGUAAGUUGGGUGUGAAACCUCCAGGCUCAACCUGGAGACGCCACCCGAUACUGCUGUGACUAGAGUCCGGUAGGGGAGCGUGGAAUUCCUGGUGUAGCGGUGAAAUGCGCAGAUAUCAGGAGGAACACCAGCGGCGAAGGCGGCGCUCUGGGCCGGAACUGACGCUGAGGAGCGAAAGCGUGGGUAGCAAACAGG
rnacentral:rRNA from 1 species